GUCAAAUCAUCAUGCCCCUUAUGACCUGGGCUACACACGUGCUACAAUGGGCGGUACAAAGGGCUGCGAAACCGCGAGGUGGAGCCAAUCCCAGAAAACCGUUCUCAGUUCGGAUUGCAGGCUGCAACUCGCCCCCGUGAAGGCGGAGUUGCUAGUAACCGCGUAUCAGCCAUGGCGCGGUGAAUGCGUUCCCGGGCCUU
rnacentral:rRNA from 1 species